rnacentral:rRNA from 1 species
CACGUAGGGCGCAAGGCGUUGUCCGGAAUUAUUGGGCGUAAAGGGCGCGUAGGCGGCCUGAUAAGUAGGGGGUGAAAUCCUGCGGCUUAACCGGCAGGGCUGCCUUCUAAACUGUCAGGCUUGAGCACAGUAGAGGCAGGUGGAAUUCCCGGUGUAGCGGUGGAAUGCGUAGAGAUCGGGAGGAACAUCAGUGGCGCAAGCGGCACCCUGGCCUUGGCCUGACGCUCAGGGGCGAAAGCGUGGGGAGCGAACGGG